rnacentral:lncRNA from 1 species
UUUUGUUGGUUUCCCCAGCGGAGUCCGUAUUGGCCUCCCUAUCUUUGAGUUGUAGGCGCAUCGUCUCAGCAGGUUUGCAUAGACUCAACACAGAUUGUUACCCCGCUCGAGUCGUCAGCAGGGUUUGUGCCUGAUAGCACUGAUUCUUGAGCAAUAUUUCUGGUCCUUUGCAAGGUUGUCUCCCAUUUGAUAUGGUGUUGACCUAAAAUUCCCCGCAGAGUUGAUGGUGCAGGUCCUCAACAAAUUUGUCCUCUUUCCCCAUUCAGGGUCGAGCCUUCGAGACGGAUAAUUCAU